UACGUAGGGUCCGAGCGUUGUCCGGAAUUAUUGGGCGUAAAGGGCUCGUAGGCGGUUGUCACGUCGGGAGUGAAAACUCAGGGCUCAACCCUGAGCGUGCUUCCGAUACGGGGCAGAACUAGAGGGUAUGCAGGGGGAGAACGGAAAUUCCUGGUGUAGCGGUGGAAUGCGCAGAUAUCAGGAGGAACACCGGUGGCGAAGGCGGUUCUCUGGGCAUUACCUGACGCUGAGGAGCGAAAGCAUGGGGAGCGAACAGG
rnacentral:rRNA from 1 species